rnacentral:SRP_RNA from 1 species
GCCGGACAUGGUGGUACGUGCUUGCAGUUCCAGCUACUUGGGAGGCUGAGGCGGGGUGGAUCCCUUGGGUCCAGGGGUCCAGGGGUCCAGGAUUGUAGUGCGCUAUGCUCAUCAUGUGUCCUCACUAAGUUCAGCAUCAAUAUGUGACCUCCUGGAAGCAGGGGACUGCUGGAUUGCAUAAGGAAGCGUGAACUGGCCCAGGUCAGCAAUGAAGCUGGUCUAAACUCCCAUGCUGAUCGGUAGAGGGAUGGUGUCUGGGAAUAGCCACUGCACUCGAGACUGGGGCAACAUAGUGAUAUCCUGU